UCAGCUCAAGUGUUGCUACAUGUUACAGAUAACUAUGGCAUUCCAUUUUAAUGAAUCUGCAUAUUGCUGUUGAGCACCGGAAGCGAGGGAGGGCAUGGCUGCACUGGAGGUUGUCCCAAGGCGAGGGCAGGGCAGAGACAUGCAACAAUGAGGGUUGCAACCGUAAUCAAUAUCUCAACGUCGAAUCAUUUCCUAUAGCCUUCCAGAAAGUUCAUUCUUAUUUUCUGAUUGGGUCAUGUUAGGCCAGCAAAGUAAACCUAGAAAAACUGAUUAGGCAAUGAUGUUUUUGUUUAAUUUUAGUGUUUGGUGUUUGUUUCAGAUAUGAAUAAUUCUGGUUAUGGUUUCUGCAUUGCAUAGUGACGUUAUAAUGAGAUUAGAGAUAGUUGUCACGCAUCUCUUUUCACUACAAACA